rfam:Daphnia pulex DAPPTscaffold_270_Cont8097, whole genome shotgun sequence.
GGUCUGUUAGCUCAGUUGGUUAGACCGCCGUGCUUAUAACGCGGAGGUCAUGGGUUCGAUCAUUUUACGUGCCA